rnacentral:lncRNA from 1 species
AUCUGUUUGUGUGCCAUCUUGUACAAAGGGUUUUUGCCCUUCAAAUGGGGCCAAAUGACAGGCCACCUUGGCCUUUGAUCUGAAUCUCAUUUUAAAAUAGAACAAAUCUUGCCCUUCAAAUGGGGAGGCUGACCGCCCCCACAAAUGGGGGUGGGGUCUGCAAAAAAAAUGGGACCUCCCCUCUCCCCAUUUGUGGGGUUCGGUUAGGCGAGGGGGGGGGGGGAAGGGGGCCAUCAGCCCCCUAUUAUAGAACCCUUUAAAAACUGAAAUUCUUAUCAAGGGUCAUUUGGCCUUCUCUCUAUAGUAGGAUUCCUGUACAAACAGAUUUAAUCAUUCAUAUUGUCUUGUUUUAAUAUGAACCUAUGAGGCUUAUAUGAAUAGGCUCAAAUGUACUUCUUGUCCUUGCGUUUGCAUCUCUUAAUCAUUGCCAUCUUUAUGUCCAUCUAAGGGAUUUGGAUUGAUAUGAUCUCACGAUUUCUACUGUGCAAUAUAAAAGGGAAAUUAAUAGGGUUUUUCUAUUUGUAUAUCGACCCUCUCACAAGAGGAGGGUUCACAAUUUUUUUAUUCGUCGUGGGUUGCCCUUUUUAUGAGGGGUCGAUCAACUCCGGUGUACAAGUGGGUAAAUCCAAAUUAACAUGGCUUGUAAUUGUUAAAGAUUUAAUUGCAUUAGAUCUCCCAAAACUAUUAACAUGAAGCAUAAUGACACAGAAAGAUUCAUUUAGACCUUAAAUUUGGCAAUAAUUUUUGUAGUUAUGUUAAGAUCUAUAUGGCAUGAUUAGUAUGUCUGCAGCGAGAAUUCGAAGGGGUUGGUUUUGGUAUGUGUAGACUGAAACUAUUAUGAUGUUUUUAGUUGCUUUGGAUGAACGGAAUGGAAUCGUAGAAGAGGAUGUAUGUAGUUGACUCUACGCUUAGUUUCUUGUGGUUUGAGGUCCUUGCUAAUAGAGGAAUUUAUUUUUUUGAUUGAUACUAGAAGUUGAGCUUGUUGUAAAGGAAAUAAAGUAAUGUGAUACUGAAGUGGGC